UGGCGGACGGGUGAGUAAUGUCUGGGAAACUGCCUGAUGGAGGGGGAUAACUACUGGAAACGGUAGCUAAUACCGCAUAACGUCGCAAGACCAAAGAGGGGGACCUUCGGGCCUCUUGCCAUCGGAUGUGCCCAGAUGGGAUUAGCUAGUAGGUGGGGUAACGACUCACCUAGGCGACGAUCCCUAGCUGGUCUGAGAGGAUGACCAGCCACACUGGAACUGAGACACGGUCCAGACUCCUACGGGAGGCAGCAUG
rnacentral:rRNA from 1 species